rnacentral:rRNA from 1 species
CCUACGGGUGGCAGCAGUGGGGAAUAUUUGGCAAUGGAGGAAACUCUGACCCAGCAACGCCGCGUGAAUGAUGAAGGUCUUCGGAUUGUAAAGUUCUUUUCUAAGGGAAGAAGAAAGUGACGGUACCUUAGGAAUAAGCCUCGGCUAACUACGUGCCAGCAGCCGCGGUAAUACGUAGGAGGCAAGCGUUAUCCGGAAUGACUGGGCGUAAAGGGUGCGUAAGUGGUUUGACAAGUUGGUAGCGUAACUCCGAGGCUUAACCUCGGCACUAUUACCAAAACUGGGAGACUUGAGUGCAGAAGAGGAGAGUGGAACUCCAUGUGUAGCGGUGAAAUGCGUAGAUAUAUGGAAGAACACCAGUGGCGAAAGCGGCUCUCUGGUCUGUAACUGAUGCUGAGGUUCGAAAGCGUGGGUAGCAAACAGGAUUAGAUACCCCUGUAGUC